rnacentral:rRNA from 1 species
UAAUACGUAGGUGGCGAGCAUUAUUCGGAAUUACUGGGCGUAAAGGGUCCGCAGGUGGUUUAGAAAGUCAGAUGUGAAAUUUCAGGGCUCAACUCUGAACGUGCAUUUGAAACUGUUAAACUAGAGUAUGUGAGAGGUAAGCGGAAUUUGUGGUGUAGCGGUGGAAUGCGUAGAUAUCACAAGGAAGACCAAAGGCGAAGGCAGCUUACUGGCACAAUACUGACACUCAUGGACGAAGGCUAAGGUAGCGAAAAGGAUUAGAUACCCUUGUAGUCUUAGCAGUAAACGUUGUACACUCGAUGUUGGUCUGGUUAGUCGGAUCAGUGUCUAAGCUAACGCGAUAAGUGUACCGCCUGGGAAGUACGGUCGCAAGACUA